rnacentral:rRNA from 1 species
GAUGAACGCUGGCGGCGUGCCUAAUACAUGCAAGUCGAGCGAACAGACGAGGAGCUUGCUCCUCUGACGUUAGCGGCGGACGGGUGAGUAACACGUGGAUAACCUACCUAUAAGACUGGGAUAACUUCGGGAAACCGGAGCUAAUACCGGAUAAUAUAUUGAACCGCAUGGUUCAAUAGUGAAAGACGGUUUUGCUGUCACUUAUAGAUGGAUCCGCGCCGCAUUAGCUAGUUGGUAAGGUAACGGCUUACCAAGGCAACGAUGCGUAGCCGACCUGAGAGGAUGAUCGGCCACCCUGGAACUGAGACACGGUCCAGACUCCUACGGGAGGCAGCAGUAGGGAAUCUUCCGCAAUGGGCGAAAGCCUGACGGAGCAACGCCGCGUGAGUGAUGAAGGUCUUCGGAUCGUAAAACUCUGUUAUUAGGGAAGAACAAAUGUGUAAGUAACUAUGCACGUCUUGACGGUACCUAAUCAGAAAGCCCCGGCUAACUACGUG